rnacentral:rRNA from 1 species
AGUCGACGGAUCCUUCGGGAUUUAGUGGCGGACGGGUGAGUAACACGUAAGAACCUGCCUCUAGGACGGGGACAACAGUUGGAAACGACUGCUAAACCCGGAUGAGCCGAAAGGUAAAAGAUUUAUCGCCUAGAGAGGGGCUUGCGUCUGAUUAGCUAGUUGGUAAGGUAAAGGCUUACCAAGGCGACGAUCAGUAGCUGGUCUGAGAGGAUGAUCAGCCACACUGGGACUGAGACACGGCCCAGACUCCUACGGGAGGCAGCAGUGGGGAAUUUUCCGCAAUGGGCGAAAGCCUGACGGAGCAAGACCGCGUGGGGGAGGAAGGUUCUUGGAUUGUCAACCCCUUUUCUCAGGGAAGAACUCAAUGACGGUACCUGAGGAAAAAGCAUCGGCUAACUCCGUGCCAGCAGCCGCGGUAAUACGGGGGAUGCAAGCGUUAUCCGGAAUGAUUGGGCGUAAAGAGUCCGUAGGUAGCCAAUCAAGUCUGCUGUUAAAGAGCGAGGCUUAACUUCGUAAAGGCAGUGGAAACUGGAAGGCUAGAGUGUAGUAGGGGCAGAGGGAAUUCCUGGUGUAGCGGUGAAAUGCGUAGAGAUCAGGAAGAACACCGGUGGCGAAGGCGCUCUGCUGGGCUAUAACUGACACUGAGGGACGAAAGCUAGGGGAGCGAAUGGGAUUAGAUACCCCAGUAGUCCUAGCGGUAAACGAUGGAAACUAGGUGUGGCCUGUAUCGACCCGGGCCGUGCCGAAGCUAACGCGUUAAGUUUCCCGCCUGGGGAGUACGCACGCAAGUGUGAAACUCAAAGGAAUUGACGGGGCCCGCACAAGCGGUGGAGUAUGUGGUUUAAUU